AGCCCACACGUGGAACCCCAAGCUUCGGGGUUUCCUAAAAAGCUUCCUGAAUGAAGAAACAGUGUGGUGGGUCAGGGGAAACCUGACGCUGCCCGGAUCGCAUCCAGGGAUAAAUCAGACAGGAGGUGAUGACGUCUUAAGGAACCAAAAGCCUGGCGAGUGCCCUUCCGUGGUCACACACUCUAAUGCUGUCUUCUCAAGAUGGAACCUGUGCAUAGAGAAGCAUCAUUUCAUUUGCCAGGCUGCCGCCUUUCCCCCUCAAGGUGCAAGCAUUUGGAGAAAUGAGUUUGGUCCUGGUCCUCUGUUACCCAUGAAAAGAAGAGGAGCUGAGACAGAGAGACAUAUGAUCCCAGGAAAUGGCCCCCCGUUAGCCAUGUGUCACCAACCCGCUCCUCCUGAGCUUGUAAGUACUGCAGUCACAAGACAAGUGUGACAUAUUCAGCUCUCUGCGGUCUGAUGGGUCCUGCCAGGAUUUUAUUAUUAUCUCUUGGAGUGUGCCGGGCACAGCGUUCUAGAAAGGAAAGCACAGGGAAGAGCUAGGUUAGCGGGCAAUCUGAAGACAAUCAUGGCUACCGAUCUCUGGGCUCCCGUGCAGAUGUGAUGCCCACCUCUUUGCUGUUGUGUGUUUUCCCCUCUGAUUCACUCCGAGGACUGGUGGCCGCCUUUAGAGACAGGUGCAAUAAAUUAAGCUCUGGAGGGCU
rnacentral:lncRNA from 1 species